UACGUAGGGUGCGAGCGUUAAUCGGAAUUACUGGGCGUAAAGCGUGCGCAGGCGGUUUUGUAAGCCAGAUGUGAAAUCCCCGGGCUCAACCUGGGAAUGGCAUUUGGGACUGCAAGGCUGGAGUGCGGCAGAGGAGACUGGAAUUCCUGGUGUAGCAGUGAAAUGCGUAGAUAUCAGGAGGAAUACCGAUGGCGAAGGCAGGUCUCUGGGCUGACACUGACGCUCAUGCACGAAAUCGUGGGGAGCAAACAGG
rnacentral:rRNA from 1 species